UACGAAGGGGGCUAGCGUUGCUCGGAAUUACUGGGCGUAAAGGGCGCGUAGGCGGAUAUUUAAGUUAGAGGUGAAAGCCCAGGGCUCAACCCUGGAAUAGCCUUUAAUACUGGAUAUCUUGAGUUCGGGAGAGGUGAGUGGAAUGCCGAGUGUAGAGGUGAAAUGCGUAGAGAUCCGGAGGAACCCCAGAGGCGAAGGCGGCAUCCUGGCCCGCUACUGACACUCAGACACGACAGCAUGGGGAGCGAACGGG
rnacentral:rRNA from 1 species